rnacentral:tRNA from 1 species
UGCGGGGUGGAGCAGCUGGUAGCUCGUCGGGCUCAUAACCCGAAGGUCGUGGGUUCAAAUCCCUCCCCCGCUACCA